GGAUGAAUUCAUGGGCGACUUUACGUUAAAGUGUAACGUCAACGUCCAAGGUGUGCCCGCGCAGAAUUCUGGGUUUUCAUUGUCCUGGACAUGCGCAUUACUGCGUAGGAAAUGCCACACAGAAGAGUUGGCGUAAGUGACACCAACUGAGAAAUUAACGCGAUAUGGUACAAACACAAAAGCGGGUUUCAGAAACAAAAAAAUUGAAGAAAGCAGCCGAUUAAGAAAAAGCAGGGCCUCCAAAAUUAUUCAGUUUCUUUAAAAAGAAAGACGGCGCAGCAGCAAGAAUAAGUUGUGAGCAAGAAGAGGCGAAGGGGACACCUGCAGCUGCUGCUAGCACCAGCUGCGCGCCAUUUACCGCAGUGAUGAGGAGGGCAGACACAUUCAAAUCUCUACAGCCUGAAACACUGCGCACUGCAACAGACGAUUAACUUUUUGGGGAAGCAAACGAGUAAUGGCAUAUUUAAAAAAAUGUAAAAUAAUACUCCCCACGCAACUCCUAUCAUUCCGGUUGUUUAACAGACAACAUGUCCAGAUGUUGUGGACAAUAACUGCAUCGCUGCAAGCUUGGGGGAAGUCUGCACCAUUAAAACUUAUCAAAUCUUACCUGAGGAGCUCAACAAGACACAACACUUUACCUGGACCUGCCACACUACCAGUCGAUAAUGCCUGUGCCUGCCAGCGGGGUUAAAGGGUUUAAUAAACGACUUUGUACAGCGAAAAGUUCGGGGGGUGCGCCUAUAAUGACAAACAUCAGAUGGCUCCUUACACUGCUGUUGACAACAGAGAUGCACAAUACCUCUGGAAAGCACAAGACCUGUGCCUGACACUCAUCAUCCUUCUAUCAAAGCGGCUGAAGAUGGAAAUCUCUGAUUGACACGCUUCUUUACGGAAAGGAGAUAUCACCCCCAGUUCCACAGCAUCUGUCCUGCAGACUUUCAUUAGUUUAAAGUGAAGACAGAGCCUCACGUGGAGCUGCAUCUGAUGAAGACACAUACUGAGUGGACGAACUCAGAAACCAACUACCUACUGCUGAAAAGUGGUGUUGAAGUUGCCACACUGGAUUCAUAACUAACUGCAGCUUUUAGGAAAUGUACAAUCCUGAACAAACCUACUUUCUUUCCUGCUGUUGUCGGGUGACUGUGUGAUUCUGUAAGCUUCAAGGAAGUGCCUUCAUACAUUCAUGGAGUAUUUAUAAAUACUGCCUUAUUGUCCAACUGAAAUUAAAUAUAGUCUAAGUCCCUCUA